rnacentral:tRNA from 1 species
GCGGCCAUCGUCCAAAAGCAGGACAUCUGGCUUCCAAUCAGGGAAUGCCGGUGCGAAUCCGGCUGGCCGCGCCA